UAUUUAACAUAUUUUAAAUUAUUGUAUUAUUGAAAAAAAGUAUAAGAAAAAAUUAUUUUUAUAAAUAUUUUUAGUUUGUAUAAUCACGAAAUAUACAUCUUUGUGAAGUCUCUUAUUUAAUCAAAACUACAACUUAAUUAACUUACUUCUAAAUAAUUUUGAAAACUCUCAUUGGAACCGAAACACUCAAAAUCUAGUGAUUAAAGAUCAUGCGAUGACGUAGUUACAUUAAAUAUAUAUGAAUAAGAUCUUAGCAUGUUUUAUGAUGAUGUUGGUCUUUAAAUUGGACAUAAACUCAGAGAAGAACGUAUUCAAUUUAUUUACAGUCAAAAUUGCUUCUAAAUUUAGCUGCAGAAGGAAGGGUGCAUACUUUUUUAAAUCAAAAAGAUUUAAAAGUGUUUUCUUUAAUAAUUCUGAUAUUUGAAUUUUUUACGUUUAAAUAUUGCUGGUGAUCAACAGAAAUCAUGAAAGAAUGGAGAAAGUUUGAAAAGUUGAUACUACUCUAUUCUGCCAAGGAAAAAACCACACCAAAAUGUUCAUUAUCGAAAUUGAAUAAUUAUGCCUUGAGCUAUAAUUAUCUAUUUUAUAUCAUAAUUUAUUUGUAUACAUAAAAGUUUGCUUUUAUUAAACAAGUUUAGUAUAGAAA